rnacentral:rRNA from 1 species
AUUGAACGCUGGCGGAAUGCUUUACACAUGCAAGUCGAACGGUAGAGGGGGCAACCCCCUUGAGAGUGGCGAACGGGUGAGUAAUAUAUCGGAACGUGCCCAGUCGUGGGGAUAACGUAGCGAAAGUUACGCUAAUACCGCAUACGAUCUACGGAUGAAAGCGGGGGACUCGCAAGAGCCUCGCGCGAUUGGAGCGGCCGAUAUCAGAUUAGGUAGUUGGUGGGGUAAAGGCUCACCAAGCCAACGAUCUGUAGCUGGUCUGAGAGGACGACCAGCCACACUUUGGAACUGAGACACGGUCCAGACUCCUACGGAGGCAGCAGUGGGGAAUUUUGGGUACAAUGGACGCAAGUCUGAUCCAGCCAUUCCGCGUGCAGGAUGAAGG